UUCUUUGCUCAUACUACCCUGGCUGCACUAGCUCUCAUUCGAUCUGUGAAGCUCAGCAGGGUUGGGCCUGGAUAGUACUUGGAUUGGAGACAACCCAGGAAUACCAGGUGCUAUAGACU
rnacentral:rRNA from 1 species